rnacentral:sRNA from 1 species
UAUUUUCUUCCGUUUAAAUUUCAAAUCCUCUCUCUCUCUAGAUCUCUCUCUCAAGAUCUUUCUCUCUCGCUCUCUCUGCGUUCUCUCUCUCGCUCUCUCUGCGCGUUCGAAUUUGAACCAGAACUAGAAUUCAGUGCUCCAACAGUCUCCGGUUGAAUUGAAUUACAGAAUACUCGAAAUCGAUUCCUCUUCAGUUGCUCUUGUUUGGGGACGAAGACGGCGAUUGAGGAGACGUCGACGAGCUGCUCUCCUCGGCGAGCGAGCGAAAUUGGCUUCCAGGGUUUUUGCUGCUGCAUUUGUUUUGUUUUGAAUUGCAUUGAAUUGAAAUCGCGUUUAACAAUGGAGUUUGUUAGGCGUCUGCCCUGCUGCACUGCAGGGUCAGAUAGAGAGGCAGUGAGAGAAAAGAUGAUGAUGAUCUUUUGAGAUUCAAUUUGGAAGCCUUGAUGGGAGAGUUUGAUCUCCUGUCUGAUCCUGCUGCUGCUGCUGCGGCCUCUGUUGCAGAUGAG